UACGUAGGUGGCAAGCGUUAUCCGGAAUUAUUGGGCGUAAAGAGCGCGCAGGUGGUUAAUUAAGUCUGAUGUGAAAGCCCACGGCUUAGCCGUGGAGGGUCAUUGGAAACUGGUUGACUUGAGUGCAGAAGAGGGAAGUGGAAUUCCAUGUGUAGCGGUGAAAUGCGUAGAGAUAUGGAGGAACACCAGUGGCGAAGGCGGCUCUCUGGCCUGUAACUGACACUGAGGCUCGAAAGCGUGGGGAGCAAACAGG
rnacentral:rRNA from 1 species